rnacentral:rRNA from 1 species
GAUGAACGCUGGCGGCGUGCCUAAUACAUGCAAGUCGAGCGAACGGACGAGAAGCUUGCUUCUCUGAUGUUAGCGGCGGACGGGUGAGUAACACGUGGAUAACCUACCUAUAAGACUGGGAUAACUUCGGGAAACCGGAGCUAAUACCGGAUAAUAUUUUGAACCGCAUGGUUCAUAAGUGCAAGACGGUCUUGCUGUCACUUAUAGAUGGAUCCGCGCUGCAUUAGCUAGUUGGUAAGGUAACGGCUUACCAAGGCAACGAUGCAUAGCCGACCUGAGAGGGUGAUCGGCCACACUGGAACUGAGACACGGUCCAGACUCCUACGGGAGGCAGCAGUAGGGAAUCUUCCGCAAUGGGCGAAAGCCUGACGGAGCAACGCCGCGUGAGUGAUGAAGGUCUUCGGAUCGUAAAACUCUGUUAUUAGGGAAGAACAUAUGUGUAAGUAACUGUGCACAUCUUGACGGUACCUAAUCAGAAAGCCACGGCUAACUACGUG